rnacentral:tmRNA from 1 species
GGGGUAGUACUGGUUUCGACGGGGGUUUAGAAACUAUCAUAGCCAUCCGAGGUAGGUGACCUCGUUAAAACAUCUAUUUUAAAAAUAAACGCUGAUAAUAAAUUAGCACUCGCUGCCUAAGAGCAGCUGUCAGUCUUGCGUCAUCCGCUGCGUGAGUAACUGGCAUCGAACAGGCGGAGCACUUCCGGGACAAAGCUUGUAGUCCAGGGAAGAAUCACAAGCUACUGAAAUUCUAAGCCUGUGAGUGGGCGUAGAACGUAGGGAAUGUUAAAACACUUACUGUGAUGGAAGAAGUGGUAGUGAAAGAGCUUUCGGACGCGGGUUCGAUUCCCGCCUGCUCCAAAA